rnacentral:rRNA from 1 species
AGUAUGAUGAGGAAGCCCUUGGCUCCACCGGAGAAUUGCAUCAGAAACUGUUGAACUUGAGUGCAGAAGAGGAGAGUGGAACUCCAUGUGUAGCGGUGGAAUGCGUAGAUAUAUGGAAGAACACCAGUGGCGAAGGCGGCUCUCUGGUCUGCAACUGACGCUGAGGCUCGAAAGCAUGGGUAGCG